UAUAUGAGAGUUUGAUCCUGGCUCAGAACGAACGCUGGCGGCGUGCUUAACACAUGCAAGUCGAACGGGUUUAUUGGAUGUAGCAAUACAUUCAAUAGAUUAGUGGCGCACGGGUGAGUAAC
rnacentral:rRNA from 1 species